CAUUUUCGGAGAGGAAGAUCAAAUUGAUGGAAAUAUAGUGAAGAGUGAUUUCAGUCCCCGGUUGGAACAUCAAUUUGGUGAUGAAAUUUCACAUUUGACUAUCGAAAUGGGAGGUAAUCUUUCAGUCCAAGUAAAUUUUUGUGUUUUCCUUUCAGUUUUUGGGUUUGAUUAUUUUUCCCGAGAUAUUGAAUUCUUAUUUAUCAAAGUCAAAAUUAUCUUUUAUUUUUAUGUUUUUUGAUUUGGGAAUUGGAGAAACUUUACAGGAAGCCCGUCAUUAUGAAAUGGAUGCAAUAAGGAAGAAAGAGAAUUAAGUAAAACUCACUAGAAAUCUUGUGAGCAUUUGGCUUUAACUGAUUUUGCACAUGCAUGUACUCAUUCACUAUUUUGUCUCAAUUUCUUAGGUGUAGAAUGUAUUAGAAGAAUUCAGU
rnacentral:lncRNA from 1 species